GCAAGUCGAGGGAGAAAGCUCUUCGGAGUGAGUACACCGGCGCAAGGGUGAGUAAUAGUUAGUCAACGUACCGUCGGGACUGGGAUAAUUCCUCGAAACGGGUUGUAAUACUGGAUGUUGCCAGAUUGGCUCCGGCUGAUUUGGUGAAAGGAGCGGGACCCUUCGGGGCCGCUUGCCGGACGAGCGGACUAACUCUGAUUAGCUAGAUGGUGGGGUAACGGCCCACCAUGGCGAUGAUCAGUAGCCGGCCUGAGAGGGUGUUC
rnacentral:rRNA from 1 species